rnacentral:lncRNA from 1 species
UUCCAAGACCCACGCAAAGAGGAGAAAGCCCCACUCAACCUGGUCUGAGCCCAGCGCUGCCCAUGCUGUGAGUAGGAUGGUGGAGUUGGGGUCUCCUGUGGUUCCUUCCAACCUGAAUUAUCCCAGCAUCUUCUGCUCAGCGGAUCCCCACAGACCGGGGUCAGAGUGAAGGUGCAAAGCCAUGUCAGCGAUGGAGCAGCCCAGACCUACAGUGCGUCAGCUGUGGGGUGGCCUUGGCAAAGCAUUGGGAUGUGCUCGGAGCCUCAGCAAGGACC